rnacentral:rRNA from 1 species
CCUAGGGCAAACUUCGUGAUUGGGACUAAGUCGUAACAAGGUAGCCGUAGGUGAACCUGCAGAAGGAUCA